rnacentral:miRNA from 1 species
GGGCUGGAGAGAUGGCUAGUGGUUAAGAGCACUGGCUGCUCUUCCAGAGGACCCAAGUUCAAUUCCCAGCAACCACA